GCCAUGAGGUGCCUGUAACAGGCUCAUAAUAGGAACGAGUGAGGCGAGACACAGCGGCUUGAGGUGCUCGGUAACCUCUACGGUGGAUUGCCUUGUGUGCUGUGGACAAGGAAUCUGGAGUUCAUGUAUCAUUAUCAAACACAAGCUUGUGGAAGGGGUGGGUGUGGCUGGGAGAAAAUGUUAAACAGGAAGGGAAGAAGCUGGAUCACCACAAACGCCAUGGAGGAGAAGCCCACAAAUUGGAUCUCACGAAUUCCACCACCACUCCUCGCCGCCGUCCAUGCUCCGACGUCAGCAGGGCCAGCAAGACGGCGACUUCCACUGGCUGUAAGCCAUCAAAGCUUUGCAUGCGUGAGGCCGGGUUGAUGUUGACUUAAUCAAUCUCCCUGCUGGCGAGGACUUCCUACAGUUAAACACACAUGUCUGGUUAUCAAAGACUCAUGUAGGAUGGUCCCGAGCUCCAAACCAUGGAGGCAGUGGCCUCUUCUCUGUCUCUGUUGAAAAUGUUAAGCACGAAGGAAAGCAGCUGCAUCACCACAAACGCCAAGGAGAAGCACACGAAUGAAUCUGGGUUUCCAUUUUGAAGUUAUAGCUGCUGUACUGAAAGGAAAGGAACUCUUUUCUCCGUGAAAAUGCAAAGAAAAAUAAAUCUGGGUUAUUGGUCACUCACCUGACCCAGGCCCCAGAUAGAGCAAUCGAGGCGGUGGCCAUGGCGCUCCCAG